rnacentral:rRNA from 1 species
GACGAACGCUGGCGGCGUGCCUAAUACAUGCAAGUCGAGCGGACAGAUGGGAACUUGCUCCCGGAAGUCAGCGGCGGACGGGUGAGUAACACGUGGGCAACCUGCCUGUAAGACUGGGAUAACUUCGGGAAACCGGAGCUAAUACCGGAUACGUUCUUUUCUCGCAUGAGAGAAGAUGGAAAGAUGGUUUCGGCUAUCACUUACAGAUGGGCCCGCGGCGCAUUAGCUAGUUGGUAGGGUAAUGGCUCACCAAGGCGACGAUGCGUAGCCGACCUGAGAGGGUGAUCGGCCAGACUGGGACUGAGACACGGCCCAGACUCCUACGGGAGGCAGCAGUAGGGAAUCUUCCGCAAUGGACGAAAGUCUGACGGAGCAACGCCGCGUGAACGAUGAAGGCCUUCGGGUCGUAAAGUUCUGUUGUUAGGGAAGAACAAGUACCAGAGUAACUGCUGGUACCUUGACGGUACCUAACCAGAAAGCCACGGCUAACUACGUGCCAGCCGCCGCCGUAA